AUGGGAAUAAGGAAGAAUAUUUCUAAAAGGGCAAGAAACAAAGGCUCUGUACGCACGGGUGACCCACCAAACCCUCAGCAGCCAGGUGUGAAGCCAGACUCACCAACACAGGUAGGCAUUUGCCCAGUGGCUUUGUGCUGCUGGAUCACCCAAGUCACUCUCAAUGUCUCUGCUUGCAUGCUUUUUAUUUUGCAGACAGUUGUUCCCAAUAUUUAAUUUGUAUGGCUGACCUGUUACAUAAAAACCACAAACACUUUUUCUGGUGUGAUAUGUAUGGUCAAUGUGAUUAGUAUUUGUAAUGUUUGUAGCGGCUGACUGAAGCGAGGAUGAGGGGGAAGGUGGUUUUAUGCUCAGGAACACGUUUUCUUCUUGAGAUAUGAAUGUCUUCAUCCUGUUCUUUCAGGUGGAGCAUAUCUGUGGGUAGAUUCCCUGUGGCUGGCUGGGCCAAGGGCUCAAAUACCUUCACAAAGAGUUCUUGUGAAAGGAGAAGGUCUUAGUACAGGUAAACUGUACUAAGCUUGACAGGCCUUACUUGUCAGACUUACUAGGCUUGGAUGACACAGUUUUUAUCAGAAACCAGAGCAAGAUAAAAGAAAGGUACCACACUGUGGCCCUUGAGUAGAGAGCCCACUAAGGAAAUGCUAAUUAGAUGCAAAUCCAUGCAUAGAGUGUGGGCUUCUGUGAAAGAAAUAACCCUAAGCAGAUAGAUCAUGCUCUCUGCUGGGACACUGAAUGCUGGGUCCAGAGGGCAGGUUAAAUGAAUGUCUGCUGAGCCACCCAGCUCAGGAGGUGGCAAACCAUGUCCUUAGACCGAUCUAAAUGUUUACUUAAGGACUGUUUCCUCCAAGGAGAUGUUCUCUAACAUGUCUCUGUGCAGCUGGGUGAGAUGUGCUGUCCUGCCCGCCGGUGAGGAGCCGGGUGGUGUGGAAGAAGGGUGACGGCUAAGGUGCAAAUCCCCCUUUCUCAGGUGAUAAACUUUGAACUUUCUCUGCCCUCCUGAGGAUGCAGGGUGCCUGCAGGGCCUUGGCACUCAGCCCUGAGCAGGGUGAUGCCGGGGUUGAGCGGGCUGAUGUGUUAACACCUCGAGGGCUUCCAGGAGGCACAGGAAGGAACCACAGCCUACCAAAGCCACAGUGAUGCUGCUGAUCCCAAUAUAAGAUGCUCCAAGGGCCACAGGGCCAGUCACUUCGCUGUCACUCCUGUGUGUGCAUGGUGC
rnacentral:lncRNA from 1 species